GUGCCAGCAGCCGCGGUAAGACAGAGGGUGCAAACGUUGUUCGGAAUUACUGGGCGUAAAGCGAGUGUAGGCGGUCUGAAAAGUCGGAUGUGAAAGCCCCGGGCUCAACCCGGGAAGUGCAUUCGAAACUGCCAGGCUAGAGUGUCGGAGAGGUUGGUGGAAUUCUCGGUGUAGAGGUGAAAUUCGUAGAUAUCGAGAGGAACACCGGUGGCGAAGGCGGCCAACUGGACGAACACUGACGCUGAGACUCGAAAGCGUGGGGAGCAAACAGGAUUAGAUACCCCCGUAGUCC
rnacentral:rRNA from 1 species